CCUACGGGAGGCAGCAGUAGGGAAUUUUCGGCAAUGGGGGCAACCCUGACCGAGCAAAGCCGCGUGAACGAAGAAGUUAUUCGGAAUGUAAAGUUCUUUUAACAGGGAAGAAAGAGAAAUUUGACGUUACGUUCCGAAUGAACCCGGGCUAACUACGUGCCAGCAGCCGGGGUCAUCCGCGGGGGGAGAGCGUUAUCGGGAAUUAUUGGGCGAAAAGGUUGCGCAGAUGGCAUAGAAGGUCUGUGGUAAAAAUGCGGGGCUCAACCAAGUAGGGCAAAAGAUACUGGAAAGCUAGAGUGUGACAGAGGGCAGUGGAACUACAUGUGUAGCGGUAAAAUGCGUAGAUAUAUGUAAGAACACCAGUGGCGAAGGCGGCUGCCUGGGUGGAUGCUGACGCUGAGGUACGAAAGCGUGGGGAGCAAACAGGAUUAGAUACCCGGGUAGUC
rnacentral:rRNA from 1 species